UGGGGAAUAUUGGACAAUGGGCGCAAGCCUGAUCCAGCCAUGCCGCGUGGGUGAAUAAGGCCCUAGGGUUGUAAACCCCUUUCAGCGGGGAAGAUAAUGACGGUACCCGCAGAAGAAGCCCCGGCUAACAGCGUGCCAGCAGCCGCGGUAAUGGGGAGGGGGCUAGCGUUGUUCGGAAUUACUGGGCGUAAAGCGCGCGUAGGCGGACUUUCAAGUCAGGGGUGAAAUCCCGAGGCUCAACCUCGGAACUGCCUUUGAUACUGAUCGUCUUGGGUCCGAGAGAGGUGAGUGGAAUUCCUAGUGUAGAGGUGAAAUUCGUAGAUAUUAGGAAGAACACCAGUGGCGAAGGCGGCUCACUGGCUCGGUACUGACGCUGAGGCGCGAAAGCGUGGGGAGCAAACAGGAUUAGAUACCCCCGUAGUCC
rnacentral:rRNA from 1 species